UGGGCAACCUGCCCCCGACCCUGGGAUAACCCCGGGAAACCGGAGCUAAUACCGGAUACUCUCCUCUGACCACCUGGUCGGAUGAGGAAAGGUCCGCCGGUCGGGGAUGGGCCCGCGGCCUAUCAGCUUGUUGGUGGGGUAACGGCCUACCAAGGCAUCGACGGGUAGCUGGUCUGAGAGGACGACCAGCCACACUGGGACUGAGAUACGGCCCAGACUCCUACGGGAGGCA
rnacentral:rRNA from 1 species